rnacentral:rRNA from 1 species
GACGAACACUGGCGGCGUGCCUAAUACAUGCAAGUCGACCUUAGGGGCGAACGGGUGAGUAACACGUGGGUAACCUGCCCAUCAGAAGGGGAUAACCCUUGGAAACAGGUGCUAAUACCGUAUACUGAUGGAUGGACCCGCGGGGCAUGAGCUAGUUGGUGGGGUAACGGCUCACCAAGGCCACGAUGCAUAGCCGGCCUGAGAGGGUGAUCCGCCACAUUGGGACUGAGACACGGCCCAGACUCCUACGGGAGGCAGCAGUGGGGAAUAUUCGGCAAUGGGCGAAAGUCUGACCGAGCAACGCCGCGUGAGUGAAGAAGGUUUUCGGGUCGUAAAGCUCUGUUGUUAGAGAAGCGGUAUCUAAAGAGAAAGCCACGGCUAACUACGUGCCAGCCGCCGCGGUAAUAC